rnacentral:piRNA from 1 species
UGCCAGUUGAUGUCAAUGAACUGGAGC